rnacentral:rRNA from 1 species
AGGAAUUGACGGAAGCCUGAUCCGCCGUGCCGCGUGUGUGAAGAAGGUCUUCGGAUUGUAAAGCACUUUAAGUCGGGAGGAAGGGCUGUAGGCGAAUACCCUGCAGUCUUGACGUUACCGACAGAAUAAGCACCGGCUAACUUCGUGCCAGCAGCCGCGGUAAUACGAAGGGUGCAAGCGUUAAUCGGAAUUACUGGGCGUAAAGCGCGCGUAGGUGGUUUGGUAAGUUGGAUGUGAAAGCCCCGGGCUCAACCUGGGAACUGCAUCCAAAACUGCCUGGCUAGAGUACGGUAGAGGGUGGUGGAAUUUCCUGUGUAGCGGUGAAAUGCGUAGAUAUAGGAAGGAACACCAGUGGCGAAGGCGACCACCUGGACUGAUACUGACACUGAGGUGCGAAAGCGUGGGGAGCAAACAGGAAUUAGAAUACCCCUGGGUAG